CUAUGGGAAACCGUAGCUAAUACCGCAUAAGCUCGAGAGAGGAAAGCAGAAAUGCGCAGAAGGAGGAGUCCGCGGCCGAUUAGCUAGUUGGCAGGGUAAAAGCCUACCAAGGCAGAGAUCGGUAGCCGGCCUGAGAGGGCGGACGGCCACACUGGGACUGAGACACGGCCCAGACUCCUACGGGAGGCAGCAGUGGGGAAUUUUUCGCAAUGGGGGAAACCCUGACGAAGCAACGCCGCGUGGAGGAUGAAGGCCUUCGGGUCGUAAACUCCUGUCGACCGGGACGAAAGUGGUCCGACCCAAUACGUCGGGCUAUCGACUGUACCGGUGGAGGAAGCCACGGCUAACUCUGUGCCAGCAGCCGCGGUAAUACAGAGGUGGCAAGCGUUGUUCGGAAUUACUGGGCGUAAAGGGCGCGUAGGCGGUCUUGUAAGUCCCGCGUGAAAUCCCCCGGCUCAACUGGGGAAUUGCGCGGGAGACUGCUUGGCUUGAGUUCGGGAGAGGGAAGCGGAAUUCCGGGUGUAGCGGUGAAAUGCGUAGAUAUCCGGAGGAACACCGGUGGCGAAGGCGGCUUCCUGGACCGACACUGACGCUGAGGCGCGAAAGCUAGGGGAGCAAACGGGAUUAGAUACCCCGGUAGUCCUAGCUGUAAACGAUGAGUGCUGGGUGUAGGGGGUAUUAACCCCUGUGCCGAAGCUAACGCAUUAAGCACUCCGCCUGGGG
rnacentral:rRNA from 1 species